rfam:Felis catus isolate Cinnamon breed Abyssinian chromosome B1, whole genome shotgun sequence.
ACCUGGGUGGCUCAGUCGUUUAAGCGUCUGACUUCAGCUCAGGUCAUGAUCUCACAGUUUGUGGGUUCGAGCCCCAUGUCGGGCU